rnacentral:misc_RNA from 1 species
UCGAUUUUCUAAAAAAGGAAUGUGCUGGCUUCAAUGUCAUGUGCACUCCGAUUUACCUUUUCAACCCCUGUGCAACUAUAAUUGUAGGUAGCAAUGAAGAAAGAAGAAAAUACGUAAGUAAUAUGUGUAUCUCAAGUAUUUGUGUCUACGGAUUUUUUAUACACUCGUAACUUAUAAAGAAUGUUCAAGUAGACUUAGUAAAGUCGAAAUUAUAAUAAC